UCCAUGUACGAGCUUGACUGUUGUGGCCGAGGAGUUAGCCUCUUUGUUUUUUUUUUAAGUAACAGUUAGACAAUGAGAGAUGCUUUCGCCCAAAAUUAUGAAGUGGUUGAUGCUCUUUCCUCUGCCAACAUCGUAGUACAUCCAAACGGGAAUGAUUUCAACAAGUCCCGCGCUCCAACCUUAGUUUCAAGUGAACUGCUAAAGUACGCGGUCAAAGGAAAAGGUUUCCAAGAUCUUUCAGACAAUGGAAGAAGGAAUUGAUCCCUUAAUAUCAGAAACAGGGGUGCAAGGCCAUAGUAGUUACUGAUUAAAGUGGGAAAAGUAAACUUUGAAAACCUAAAACAGCAGUUUGAAGGUGGAGCAAUGAUCAGUGAAAAAAGUAUUCUUGAACACCUAGAUGCAUUUUAAGGCUACUGUAACUUUCAUCAUGAGGCACCUCCUAUCCUGCUACACUAUGUAAGUUGAGUUAAAGUGAUUUCUUAGUAUUGCAAUGCACAUCCUGUACUGGGCAUAAAAAUCAUAUAAUAACGCAAUUAAGUGUGUGCGCAUUUCUGAGGA
rnacentral:misc_RNA from 1 species